UCCGAGUUGACCUCGGCAGUCUCGUCAGAGUCCUCAACUUAAUGUUAGUAACUGACGACAAGGGUUGCGCUCGUUGCGGGACUUAACCCAACAUCUCACGACACGAGCUGACGACAACCAUGCACCACCUGUCACCUCUGUCCGAAGAAAGGAUCGGUUAGGAUCCGGUCAGAGGGAUGUCAAGCCCUGGUAAGGUUUUUCGCGUUGCUUCGAAUUAAACCACAUGCUCCGCUGCUUGUGCGGGUCCCCGUCAAUUCCUUUGAGUUUUAGUGUUGCCACCGUACUCCCCAGGCGGAGCACUUAUUGCGUUAACUGCGUCACUGAAUACAUUCGUACCCAACAACUAGUGCUCAUCGUUUACGGCGUGGACUAC
rnacentral:misc_RNA from 1 species